CUCGAAGUGGGGGAUAACCAUUGGAAACGAUGGCUAAUACCGCAUAAGCUGGUGAUGAUGGGAAUCGUUAUCAGGAAAGCUUUAGUGCUUUGAGAGGGGCCUACGGCCGAUUAGCUAGUUGGUGAGGUAAAGGCUCACCAAGGCGAUGAUCGGUAGCUGGUCUGAGAGGACGAUCAGCCACACGGGAACUGAGACACGGUCCCGACUCCUACGGGGGCAGCAGUGAGGAAUAUUCGGCAAUGGGGGCAACCCUGACCGAGCAACGCCGCGUGGAGGAUGACGGUUUUCGGAUUGUAAACUCCUUUUCUCAGGGAAGAGUGAGGACGGUACCUGAGGAAUAAGUCACGGCUAACUACGUGCCAGCAGCCGCGGUAAUACGUAGGUGGCAAGCGUUAUCCGGAAUUACUGGGCGUAAAGCGCACGCAGGUGGCUGCUUAAGUCUGACGUGAAAGCUCCUGGCUUAACUGGGAGAGGUCGUUGGAGACUGGGCGGCUUGAGGCGAGGA
rnacentral:rRNA from 1 species